rnacentral:tRNA from 1 species
GUGCAUGUAGCUCAAUGGAUAGAGCGCCUGUUUCCUAAGCUGAAGGUUUGUAGGUUCGACCCCUGCCUGGUGCA